rnacentral:rRNA from 1 species
AUUGAACGCUGGCGGCAGGCCUAACACAUGCAAGUCGAGCGAGCGGCGGACGGGUGAGUAAUGCCUGGGAAUUGCCCAGUCGAGGGGGAUAACAGUUGGAAACGACUGCUAAUACCGCAUACGAUUGGAUUGCCCAGGUGGGAUUAGCUAGUUGGUGAGGUAAUGGCUCACAAAGGCGACGAUCCCUAGCUGAUCUGAGCGGAUGAUCAGACAAACUGAAACAGAGACACGGUACAGAGUCCUACGGGAGGCAGCAGUGGAGAAUAUUGCAAAAUGGGGGAAACCCUGAUGCAACCAUGCCGCGUGUGUGAAGAAGGCAUUCGGAUUGAAAAACACUUUCAGCGGGGAGGCGUUACUCGCAGAAGAAGCACCGGCUAACUCCGUGACAGCAGCCGCGGUAAUAC